rnacentral:rRNA from 1 species
UGACGCAGCACGCCGCGUGAGGGAAGAAGGCCUUCGGGUCGUAAACCUCUGUCAGGAGGGAAGAAUGUCAUGGAUUCGAACAGGGUCCGUGUUUGACGGUACCUCCAAAGGAAGCACCGGCUAACUCCGUGCCAGCAGCCGCGGUAAU